AAGUUGGGUGAACAGAUUUUGAACGGGUCUUAUUUGAAAUGGACAGUGGCUGUGCCAUUUCUAUGCUUCGGCUUCUUUGUCCUGUUGCUUUUUUUGUGCUUCAGUUCUUGAUUUUUUAAAGCAGUCCAGGUUGAAUUUGUACGCUAAUCGCAUGCAACGUCAAAAACAACGGGUUCAAUCUUCUGCCACAGCCUCCAUUUGCCUUGAGGUACUUGAAUGACUACCUUCUUAUCUCCGGAGAUUGGCAGGGUCUGCCUUGUCACUUAGACUUUGAUUUGGAGUUCCAUAAGAGGAAAAAUGCUGAUAAAAAUGGAGAUGAGAUGGAUGAUCUUAUGAUAUUGGUUGUCUUGGAGGUGUUGCUUGACAAGUACUCAAUCCAAGGAAACCAAGAAUGGGCAGUGAAGCUCAAUUCUUCAACUGAAGGUAUGUUCAUGGAUUUCUAGUGAAAGGGAAACAGACAGAAGAUAUGAAAAGUUGUUUAUAUCGAGAAAGAUUCCAGCCCAUCGACAGGUCAGAUAUUUGUGGAAUCUGCUGUCUAUUCAAGGAAUCGAUGCUUUUCUUUGGCUCUAUCAUCCAAGGCAGGCAAGAGUUCUAUCCUUCUGCCGAUUGGGCAUUUCAAAUGCAAGGACAUGUGUGAGGAAGACAUGAUCAUGGCUUCUUUGAUCUGCAUUGUGGAUUUUGAUUGUCAGAAGAUCCUAGUCUGCAAAUGGAGUUGGAUUGUGGAAAGAAACUUCAGUUCGAUACGGAGGUAGUUACAAAUUUGAAUUAGUUCUUGUAUCGGGUCCCUUUAUGAACUAUAUUCAUAUGAUUUGUUGUACUUGUUAUUAUCAGCAAAAAUAUUAGUUGUCUUGA